UCUAUCGUGUUAUUCGAGCUCUGGAUAAUUAGAGUGGCAAUGGAGUUUCGGGAGGGUGAUGUGAGAUGAAUUUUCAUGACGAAAUUCUGGAUCUAGCUCCGUUCGUAUCCAUCCGUUCAAACUCUGCGUUUCAUUAAUAGGAUUCGAUCUCCGACAACAACGACUAAGUUCAUAUCCUGACACCAACAAUGGAGUCGUCUUUAAUUGUGUCGUUUUGUCUUCCGUCAUAAUCAAUCAAAACAUUCUGAUUACAGAUUCAUCGCUUUUAUCACCUUCUUAACUCCAUCGACCCACAUCAAUCACGAUCUGACAUUCAAUGCAACUUGCUCUUCUGCAAGGCCGUGUAUCUACACCUAUAAAAGGUAAGCCUUCUUCCCUUCCAAAUCAUCCUCUCAAUUCCUGAAAAAUUUUUAGAAAACUUAGGUUUGGUGAAACGGCCAACUCUCCAGCUCGCUUUCCUUCCACCAUUGAGUUUGAUGAGUUCCAAUAAGCGGUUUCAGUCUAGCUAAUGGUUUUAAAGACGAAACAGGCAUCUUGAGUUUACCUUCGCUAUGGAGACUCAGGUUGCGAAGAUAGAUCCCACCUAUAAAAAG